AGCAGCCAACGCGCCCCCUCCCGGCCGGCCGUUGCGCCGCGCCCCCGACGAGCCCCGCCCCCGAGGAGCCCCGCCCCACCGAGAAGAGCGUUGCGCUGGCCGCCUAGAGACCACCUCCAGGUGUGGCUACAAAGCCAACUCGCAGGGGACUGCUUUCAGCGUGCCGGACCGAAGUCACUACCCACCAGUUUGUAAACUUUACAGAAGAAGUGCUUCACUUUAAGCAAUGAAGAACGUCAAGUUCGCCGUAUUAACCCAGACGCCGGACCCUCUCCUUGGGACCCUCCCGCUGAACCGAACCCUGCCGCAAGUCUGGCAGGGGGCACCAACCUUCGUCGAGGGCUCUGUUGACCGCGGCGCACAGGGACCAGUACCCGCUAGACUUAAAUCUCCAUGGAUAAUAUGAAAUGUUCACACCUUGAAACUCAACUAUUAAAAAUAAUCAACAGUAGUCAUCUCUAGUUAUUGACAGUAAGGAAUCUUGGAAUUGGAAAAUUUGGGGAGGAUUUGGAAUUUUUAAGUUUGACAACUGUGCCCCCAGAGAAGCAGAACAUCAUCCCUCCAGUUUCUUCAUUUUGGUAAGAAAAAGAAACUUUAAGGACUUCACUAUGAUUUGCUUUUCCAGACAAAGUCACCAGCACAUUAAUAUUGUUGUUGAAUAAAUGUAAAUCUGUUG